UUUGGUUCAGUUCGAGUUUUAUUGGUCGGUUUUGAUCGAUUUUAUCAGUUCGGGCUAGGUUUUGACACCUCUAAUGUCAUGGGGCGAUCUAAUAUAUAUGUUAGUUGGAGACGUAGUCUAGCCAAGAAGGCUAGAUUAGAACAGUUUUCAUAUAUCUUUUGACAAGAAGGAUAUUUGAGCUGUGUACCUAAUUUUAACUUAUUUUAUUUUAUUUUGUUUUUAUAAUAAUAAAUUUGUGACUAAGUGGUCCCAAUCUGACUCAGGAAACAGCCUCUCCCUAAAGCAGGGAUAAGACUGCAUAACUUAUGACCCUCCCCAGAACCCCGUGUGGUGGGAGCCUUGUGCAAUGAGUACCCCAUUUUUAGACUUGAUAAGCACUUGUCAAGCAACUUUGUCAUCUACUUAUCUGAGUGUUUUAACUGGCAUAAGCUCUUUUAAGAGGUGAGCACUUGGUAGAAAAUAGUUUUGGGAGAAAAAAAAACUUUCAGAUCAAGCAGCCUAACCCAGAAAAACAAUUUACUGAAGAAUCAAGAAAGAAGUUUAUCUUUCAGACAGAUUCAUUUAGUCCUAACAGCUUUUGCUCAGCACAAGGCACACCUACUGCUUGGCACAAGGCAGUGGCUUGAAUGCUCAGUUGAAGUCCUAGUCUACCAUGCCAAACGCUACAAGAGUCAACGAAUUGGAACAGACUUUGCAGGACCCUCAGAACUCUCUACUGUAUGCCCUUGGGUUUCCAUGCACAAUUAGUGCCUCUGCAAUAUAUUUCUCGUGGUUUCUUUAA